CACAGAUGCUCGAUCUGAUUGAGAUCAAGGGAAUUUGGAUCCCAAAUCAACACCUUCAACACUUUGUCAUGUUCCUCAAACAGUUCCUGAACAAUGUUUGCAGUGUUGCAGGGCACAUUAUCCUGCUGAAAGAGGCCACUGCCGUUAGGGAAUACCGUUGUCAUGAAGGGGUGCACUGUACUUGGUCUGCAACAAUGUUUAGGGUCACGGGGAACCUGGAGCCUAUCCCAGGGAGCAUCGGGCACAAGGCAGGAUACACCCUGGACAGGGUGCCAAUCCAUCGCAGGGCACAAUCACAUACACACACCCAUUCAUACACUACGGACACUUUGGACAUGCCAAUCAACCUACCAUGCA
ensembl:lncRNA